rnacentral:rRNA from 1 species
GCGGCGGACGGGUGAGUAACACGUGGGCAACCUGCCCUGCAGACUGGGAUAACUUCGGGAAACCGGAGCUAAUACCGGAUAACACCGAAAACCGCAUGGUUUUCGGUUGAAAGGCGGCUUUUAGCUGUCACUGCAGGAUGGGCCCGCGGCGCAUUAGCUAGUUGGUGAGGUAACGGCUCACCAAGGCGACGAUGCGUAGCCGACCUGAGAGGGUGACCGGCCACACUGGGACUGAGACACGACCAAAACUUAUACGGGAGGCAGCAGUAGGGAAUCUUCCGCAAUGGACGAAAGUCUGACGGAGCAACGCCGCGUGAGCGAAGAAGGUCUUCGGAUCGUAAAGCUCUGUUGUCAGGGAAGAACAAGUACCGUUCGAACAGGGCGGUACCUUGACGGUACCUGACGAGGAAGCCACGGCUAACUACGUGCCAGCAGCCGCGGUAAUAC